UUGCGAGUGUGUUAUCCACGUUCUGACGGUAAUGGAUAAUAUAUCUCAUGCACUCUUCAGUUGAAACCUUUUGUGUUUCCCUAGUCGAGUAAGAUUCGUUAUUUCCCUUCUGCGGGGUCGAAUGUUCUUUGUUGUUGGAUAAUUGCCGGAUGCUUGCAAUUUAUCCUUCGAGUUGUCUUUCGUUUACCCGGAUGCUUGGUAUCAAU
rnacentral:lncRNA from 1 species